GGGAAGUACCUGCCAACCAGCUUCUAUGGUAUUAAGAUCAUUCUCGAAAGAGCCAGAGAUGACCCAAAUUUGUGACAAGCUGAAUUCAUAUUCAUCAGUUACGCGGGGAGCCCAAACAUUAAUGCUGGUUUUUGCUCCAUAGUACUGAUCUCCUUUCACAAACAUUACUGCAUGCUGCAAUCCCAAAACAGCAUCAGUCAACCAGUUUCUGAAAUAAAAACAGUUCCUUCUGGGCAUGCUUCCCCAGAACUUGACCACAGCUGCAGGCUCUCUGUCACAUUGUCCAUGGAGUCAUGUCCUUUCGGUCUCUCUGGUGGAUCCUGCAAAAGCAAGAAGUUUGAAUGUGCGAACUUUCCCCUUUCCCAAAUCAGAAAAAUUGAAACUGGCCUCUGUUCAGUUCGGUGAGCAGAUCCUGAGAUUUGCAUUUUGAUUUGGGAAAAUUUUCCCAGAAUUGUUUUCCAUCCAAACAAAAAGAAACUCAAGGAGAAAACAUAAAUUAACUUCUGUUCAAAUACCAAUGGCUUCUGUCCUUUAAGCUGUGGAUGAUCAAAAGCUGGUUGAAGAUGAGAUAGAACACAAUCUAUGAGAUCACCGUCAGGACUCUACAAAGAAGAAAUGAGGAACCCAGGUCAUAAAACCUGUCAACGCCAAGAAAAUGCCAACAUUUAAACAAGAAACACCAUUGAAUACAGUGACAAUGCCUUAAUUGUCUCGACUGCAGGUUUGUUGAUCUUCUUGAGAUAAGCUCUUAUUUUGUUCAACCUAUGCAGCUCUGAACCUGGCCGGAAAGUUUGGUUGGCAGGCUGGCGGUGGCCGGAAUCCGGCUCGGUGGGUAGUGAGAGGACCGGGGUGAGGGAGGAAGAUACAAGGAGGAAGGCAACAAAAAAGGGAAUGAUUAGAAGGGUGUGGGAGUGAGAAGGGGAAGAGGCCAUGUUUGUGCAAUGAUUUUUUUGUUGUGCUGCAGAACUGGGUUGUGUUUGUAUGCAUUGGAGUUGUCUUGUACUGUGAAGAAGGUAACAUGGACAUGGUUUAUUCCAAAAUUUUGUCCAUGGGGAUCCAACUCUGAUCAAAUCCAUACAGGACGGACGAACCUCUUCAAACGACGAGUAGCAGCCCGGUUCACUGCCUCUCCAUUUCCAAUACUUCCAAUAAGCCAAACACCCAGAUAUGCCGUCAAGCUCCCCUCUCUCUCUCUCUCUCUGGAUGGAGACACAGAGAUUCUAGUGCCUUGGUUUUGUGUUCUGACUUCUGACACACAAAAACUUCAGGCAUGAGCUUAUUAAAAUAGGCCAGGGUAAGUGGCUCCUUUCUUUCUAAGUUUUUUUUCUAAGUUUUACUCAUGAUGGUAGUGGUCAAAAUAGAUUAUUUAAUUAAUUAAUUUAUUGAGAGAGAGAGAGAGAGAUGGGUAUAUCACCUUUGCAUUGCUCUGUUCUUACUUCCCUGUAUCUUCAUUGACCUUGCAAUUUUAUCUUUAUUUGAGUUAUCAUAAUUUUGACUUUUUGAGGAA